UAUGUGAUCGUCUCUCGCAUAUCAAUAAGCGGAGGAAAAGAAACUAACAAGGAUUCCCCUAGUAACGGCGAGUGAAGCGGGAAGAGCUCAAAUUUGAAAUCUUAAAGGGUUUCCCUUUACGAAUUGUAGUUUAAAGAAGUGUUUUCUGUUGAGGUUUUGGUAAAAGUUCUUUGGAAUAGGACAUCAUAGAGGGUGAGAAUCCCGUAUUUGACCUUUACUUUCAACUUUGUGAUACACUUUCAAAGAGUCGGAUUGUUUGGGAAUGUCAGUCCAAAAUGGGUGGUAAAUUUCAUCUAAAGCUAAAUAUUGGCGAGAGACCGAUAGCGAACAAGUACCGUGAGGGAAAGAUGAAAAGAACUUUGAAAAGAGAGUUAAACAGUACGUGAAAUUGUCAAAAGGGAAGCGUUUGUACACCAGUGUUGUUUUUCUGAAAAUCAAUUAAAGAACUGUUUAUGCUAAGUUGUUUAGACUUUAUCAGCUAAUCUGCUUAGUUUUGAGCUUUUCUUUAAUGCACUUUUCAGUUAACAAGUCAACAUCAAUUUCUUUUGCUGUAAAAAAGCUUGAGGAAGGUGGCUUGAGAUUCGUCUUAAGUGUUUAUAGCCUCUUGCCUAUGCAGUCGGAGAGAUUGAGGUCUGCAGCGUAGAUCCUUCGGGGCUAAAUGCAUUUGUGCUAAGUUAUAACAUUUUAUAGACAACUUGUUGACUAUGAUUUGUCUUGUAGCUUACUCGCUUAUGUUAUUUUACCUACGCUUAGGAUGUUGAAGUCAUCGUAUCGCGC
rnacentral:rRNA from 1 species